rnacentral:rRNA from 1 species
AUUGAACGCUGGCGGCAGGCCUAACACAUGCAAGUCGAACGAGUGGCGGACGGGUGAGUAAUGUCUGGGAACCUGCCUGAUGGAGGGGGAUAACUACUGGAAACGGUAUCUAAUACCGCAUACCAUCGGAUGUGCCCAUAUGGGAUUAGCUAGUAGGGGGGGUAAAGGCUCACCUAGGCGACGAUCCCUAGCUGGUCUGAGAGGAUGACCAGCCACACUGGAACUGAGACACGGUCCAGACUCCUACGGGAGGCAGCAGUGGGGAAUAUUGCACAAUGGGCGCAAGCCUGAUGCAGCCAUGCCGCGUGUAUGAAGAAGGCCUUCGGGUUGUAAAGUACUUUCAGCGGGGAGGCGUUACCCGCAGAAGAAGCACCGGCUAACUCCGUGCCAGCAGCCGCGGUAAUUC